rnacentral:rRNA from 1 species
GACGAACGCUGGCGGCGUGCUUAACACAUGCAAGUCGAACGGAAAGGCCCUAAUCUUGUGGCGUGCUCGAUUGGCGAACGGGUGAGUAACACGUGUGUAACAUGCCCUUGUAUUUGGGGUAACUUCAGGAAACUCGGGCUCUUACCGGGUAGGAGCUCCUGCUGCAUGGGGGGGGUUGGAAAAUUUCGGCGGUUGGGGAUGGACUCGAUGGUUAUCCGCUUGAUGGUCGGGUAGUGGCUUACCAAGGCUUUGACGGGUAGCCGGCCUGAGAGGGUGACCGGCCACAUUGGGACUGAGAGACGGCCCAGACUCCUACGGGAGGCAGCAGUGGGGAAUAUUGCACAAUGGGCGGAAGCCAGAUGCAGCAACGCCGCGUGCGGGAUGACGGCCUUCGGGGUGUAAACCGCUUUCGCCUGUGAUGAAGCGUGAGUGACGGUAAUGGGUAAAGAAGCAACGGCUAACUACGUG